ACUUUCCUGAGGGCAUGGGACGCCUCACCUCUCUCAACAAACUUGAGAUCCGGCACUGCGAAAGCAUCAAAUCCUUGCCUAACGGCAUAGAAAACCUUACCAGGCUCGCAUAUAUACGUAUUAUAGGCUGCCCUGAGUUACAGCAUUGGUAUGAAUUAGAGGGUAACAAGAAGAAACUCGCUAACGUGGAAAAACUGGAAUUUCUCUGAUUGUUAGAAAGCCAUACAAAAAUCAAGGGAUAAUAAGGUCUUCAUGGCUGAUUGAGAUCAUAAUUCAUAAGCAGUUGUACAACAUCGACGUGGACGUCUCUCCUCUCUCAAGAAACAUGAGAUCAGGUUGUGUGAUGGCAUCAAUCUUUGCCAGAUUGCACAGAAAAAACUCAGCAAGCUCGAUUAUUCUGUACGGGAAUUACUGCACUGUUAUAAAUCGCAUGGUGUCACGAGGAAGUUUGAUCUCCCCUAUGUGGUACAAAAUGAAACCAACAUGCAUAGGCGGGGAAUAACACACUGUUUAUACACACUAGCUGCACACAAUUUAAACAAUAGUUUUCAUAUCCAAUAUGUUUUGUCUAUGUCAUUGUUUGGUCUUUCCAUAUUAUUUUGGUCAUGUCUUAGCGUAUGUGUUGACCUUGUGGUGCUAGCUAUGGAUUGAAUGGCGUGGAUGUUACUAUUACUCGUUUCUCGUACAGCUGCCGGUUGUGGAUGUCUCA